GACGAACGCUGGCGGCGUGCUUAACACAUGCAAGUCGAACGGUAAGGCCCUUCGGGGUACACGAGUGGCGAACGGGUGAGUAACACGUGGGUGAUCUGCCCUGCACCUCGGGAUAAGCCUGGGAAACUGGGUCUAAUACCGGAUAGGACCACUGCCUACCUGGGAGGUGGUGGAAAGCUUUUGCGGUGUGGGAUGGGCCCGCGGCGUGUCAGUUUGGUGGUGGGGUGAUGGCCUACCAAGGCGACGACGGGUAGACGGCCUGAGAGGGUGACCGGACACACUGGGACUGAGAUACGGCCCAGACCCCUACGGGAGGCAGCAGUGGGGAAUAUUGCACAAUGGGCGCAAGCCUGAUGCAGCGACGCCGCGUGAGGGAUGACGGCCUUCGGGUUGUAAACCUCUUUCAGCACCGACGAAGCGCAAGUGACGGUAGGUGCAGAAGAAGGACCGGCCAACUACGUGCCAGCCGCCGCGGUAA
rnacentral:rRNA from 1 species